rnacentral:rRNA from 1 species
UACGAAGGGGGCUAGCGUUGCUCGGAAUCACUGGGCGUAAAGCGCACGUAGGCGGCUUCUAGGUCAGGGGUGAAAUCCUGGAGCUCAACUCCAGAACUGCCUUUGAUACUGGAGAGCUUGAGUCCGGGAGAGGUGAGUGGAACUCCGAGUGUAGAGGUGAAAUUCGUAGAUAUUCGGAAGAACACCAGUGGCGAAGGCGGCUCACUGGCCCGGUACUGACGCUGAGGUGCGAAAGCGUGGGAGCA